GACGGGGGAUGCAAGCGUUAUCCGGAAUCACUGGGCGUAAAGCGUCUGUAGGUGGUGAUGCAAGUCACUGGUGCAAAACUCUGGCUCAACCGGUGGAAAGCCAGUGAAACUGCAUGACUAGAGUGUGGGAGAGGUAGAAGGAAUUCCCUGAGUAGCGGUGAAAUGCGUAGAUACAGGGAAGAACACCGGAGGCGAAAGCGUUCUUCUGGAACACAACUGACACUGAGAGACGAAAGCUAGGGGAGCGAUUGGG
rnacentral:rRNA from 1 species